UUCUCUACUAUCUGCCGAGCGAAGGUCGUGUCUCGUGUGUCGAGAGUUCGAUACUAUUUUCGACUUGCCGUGACUUACGGUAGACAACCGCCACACACUUAACGUGUUUGUCGAAAGAAAGAAACCAAAAUCAUCACCAUCAUGUCGAGAGUAAUUUUAGCGCAAUUGAAGAAAUCCAGCUCCGUAUUGAGGACGUCCGUGCGGUCCAAGGCCGAUGGUCACCAUGCCACGUACAAACCCCUGACAAUGGAUGACAUGCCAGUCCCAAAGGUGCCCUGGAACGAAUACCACGGCAAAACCAAUGCCAAAUACAACCUAGUACUUGUCGGCGGAAUCACUGCUCUUGCAACGUCCAUCUACGUAUUACAAGAUAACUGUUUCUUCAAUGCAUUUGUACCACCAUACCCUUUUGAAGAAACUGAACAAAAGUAAUUAUGAGUAUAUUUUUUUUAAAAUGUAUUUAUUUUUUUCCGUGUAGUAAUUAAUAAUAUUAUAUAAAUAAAUAUAAUUGUAAUUAAUUAUAAAUUUGAUUAUCCAAAAUAAAAUGAUUUAAUUAGGUAAUGUA